rnacentral:rRNA from 1 species
UCGAUCAGUAGGAUACCCGCUGACUUAGCAUAUCAUAAGCGGGAGGAA